UACGUAGGGUGCAAGCGUUGUCCGGAAUUAUUGGGCGUAAAGAGCUCGUAGGCGGUUUGUCGCGUCUGCUGUGAAAAUCCAGGGCUUAACCCUGGACCUGCAGUGGGUACGGGCAGACUAGAGUGCGGUAGGGGAGAUCGGAAUUCCUGGUGUAGCGGUGAAAUGCGCAGAUAUCAGGAGGAACACCGGUGGCGAAGGCGAGUCUCUGGACAUUUCCUAACGCUGAGGCACGAAAGCCAGGGGAGCAAACGGG
rnacentral:rRNA from 1 species